GGUUGUGGCUCAGUGGUAGAGUGCUUGGCUAGCAUAUGUGAGGCACUGGGUUCAAAUCUCAGCACCA
rnacentral:tRNA from 1 species